rnacentral:rRNA from 1 species
AGCAGCCGCGGUAAUUCCAGCUCCAAUAGCGUAUAUUAAAGUUGUUGCAGUUAAAAAGCUCGUAGUUGAAUUUCGGGGUCAGUAGGUUGGUCGUGCCACUGGUAUGCACUGGCCUUGCUGAUUCCUCCCUCUUGUAGAACCGUAAUGCCAUUAAUUUGGUGUUGCGGGGAAACAGGACUGUUACUUUGAAAAAAUUAGAGUGUUUAAAGCAGGCUAACGCCUGAAUACAUUAGCAUGGAAUAAUGAAAUAGGACGUUCGAUCCUAUUUUGUUGGUUUCUAGGGUUGACGUAAUGAUUAAUAGGGACAGUUGGGGGCAUUAGUAUUCAAUUGUCAGAGGUGAAAUUCUUGGAUUUAUCGAAGACUAACUACUGCGAAAGCAUUUGCCAAGGAUGUUUUCAUUAAUCAAGAACGAAAGUUAGGGGAUCGAAGACGAUCAGAUACCGUCGUAGUCUUAACCAUAAACUAUGCCGACUAGGGAUCGGAUGAUGUUAAUUUUUAAUGACUCAUUCGGCGCCUUAC